GACGAACGCUGGCGGCGUGCUUAACACAUGCAAGUCGAACGGAAAGGCCCUGCUUGCAGGGUACUCGAGUGGCGAACGGGUGAGUAACACGUGGGUGAUCUGCCCUGCACUUCGGGAUAAGCCUGGGAAACUGGGUCUAAUACCGGAUAGGAGCCAUUUUUAGUGUGAUGGUUGGAAAGUUUUUUCGGUGUAGGGUGAGCUCGCGGCCUAUCAGCUUGUUGGUGGGGUAAUGGCCUACCAAGGCGGCGACGGGUAGCCGGCCUGAGAGGGUGGACGGCCACAUUGGGACUGAGAUACGGCCCAGACUCCUACGGGAGGCAGCAGUGGGGAAUAUUGCACAAUGGGCGCAAGCCUGAUGCAGCGACGCCGCGUGGGGGAUGACGGCCUUCGGGUUGUAAACUCCUUUCGCUGGGGACGAAGCUUUUUGUGACGGUACCUAGAUAAGAAGCACCGGCUAACUACGUG
rnacentral:rRNA from 1 species